rnacentral:lncRNA from 1 species
CCCUUAGCCAAGCAUUCAUCAAAAAGAACUGGAUGUUGAAAGAAAAGACUAUAUGCUUUCAAGUUUCCACGUGGAAAGAAAGGUUUCUCUCUCCACACAUGAUGAAGCAACGUUGUAUUUGAACACCUAAACUGCUCAACUUCAGCCACUUCUCCUACAGGAAAAACAAAGGCUCUCCCAGAAAGCUGAGCGCAGAGCAAAAGAACACAGCCUACGCACUCUGCCUCAGCAGUGGCUUCCAGUCACCAAAUAAAACAAAUUACCCAUAAAACAGUCAUUUCUUUCCUUUCAACGUAUACUGAGGAAUCUGGGAACAACUGGACACAGUUCGCCACCUUGUGAGCAGGAGAAGACGUGCAGUUUCCUGAAGGACAGCCAACCCUCAGUGCAGAAGCCACAGAGAGAAGCUUUGUGACUCAGGGCCCCAGGCUCCAGAGCACCACAUACGAUGUCUUUGGAGAUGUGCGGUGCGGGGUUAUUUCUGCACUCUCUCCCAGGGCCAGCCUGAGGCCACAUAAAUAACUGAAAUGGGUCUUUAUUGCACACACUACAGCAUUGCUGCAAAACCCUUAUCAAAGUCAUGAACUUGGAGUCAACGAACCUGUUUCUGCUACUAACUACCAAGUGACCUUGAGCAAGUCGCCUAAUUCCUGUGGGCCACAUUUGCAAAUGAGAAAGAUUGACCAGGUGAUCUACAGGGGCUCAUCCAGCUCUAAAAAUGAAAAUUUGUGAAUUCUAUCCUAGAACUACAUGAAGCAGAAAAAGGCACAAAGUCUAUGAGAACGUGGAAGC